rnacentral:rRNA from 1 species
GACGAACGCUGGCGGCGUGCUUAACACAUGCAAGUCGAACGGAAAGGCCCUGCUCUUGUGGGGUGCUCGAGUGGCGAACGGGUGAGUAACACGUGAGUAACCUGCCCUUGACUUUGGGAUAAAUUCAGGAAACUGGGGCUAAUACCGGAUAGGAGCUCCUGCUGCAUGGUGGGGGUUGGAAAGUUUCGGCGGUUGGGGAUGGACUGGCGGCUUAUCAGCUUGUUGGUGGGGUAGUGGCUUACCAAGGCUUUGACGGGUAGCCGGCCUGGGAGGGUGACCGGCCACAUUGGGACUGAGAGACGGACCAGACUCGUACGGGAGGCAGUAGUGGGGAAUAUUGCAGAGUGGGCGGAAGCCUGAUGCAGCAACGCCGCGUGCGGGAUGACGGCCUUCGGGUGGUAAACCGCUGUCGCCUGUGACGAAGCGUGAGUGACGGUAAUGGGUAAAGAAGCACCGGCUAACUACGUG